AAGCAGUUUCCAUGGUUUUUGCAACUUCUGUUGUAGCAACGAACUCCGUAUGAAAUGGGAGGCCUCGGAAACGCGUGGUCCUCUGGUGCGUUGCAGCUGGGGAUGAGGCGCGUGCGGAGCUAAGAUAACACGGCGAGCUUGGGAAGGGCUGGUCACGAGGCUGGUGGUGAUCGUUGUUAAUAAGGGCCUGACUGCAUGAUCCCUGCUGGAGGCGAACAUGCGUCACUCAGAGGAGAACAUGCUUGGCAUGGGGGAUGCAUCCUGAUCUUGGGGUCAGCUGAAGCCAGUCGAGCUCCGCAGAUCUGCAUCAGCUGGAGCGCUGGCCCGAAUGCAAACAAGUUUGCAAGCAUGGAGGGGUCCUGUCAGCACGUUCCCAGCAGUCCUGGCAAGCGACAGCUCCUAACGCCCAACAGCAAAGUUUCUAAAAGACGGACGAGAGCCCUUCCCGUGAAACAGUUCAUCUAUGCAAAACUUGAAUGAGCUCCUACUAGCACUCAAUCCAUGCACACCCUCUCUUGCAAGUGAUGCUUUUCAGCAUGUCUUUUCCUCUCCCAGAGUUUUGUUCCAGACAAAAAGCCUCCAGGCACAGGGCUGGUGGUAGUCCUUUAGCUAUGCAAAGAACAACAAAGGAAACAUGGGAAAGUUUGCCCCGGUGAAGGUACGGAGCAGAAAUGAGGCCCUUCACGUGCUUCGAAGACAUCUGGGAGGCCAGAUCCCUGCUACGGGAGUCGAGGAGCUUUGCGACCUUACGGGGAGUUACUGGCCAAAUUUCCAGAAAAAAAGGGUCAAUAAAAGCCAGCCAACCUGCUUCGUGUACA
rnacentral:lncRNA from 1 species